rnacentral:rRNA from 1 species
CCUACGGGAGGCAGCAGUGGGGAAUAUUGGUCAAUGGACGAGAGCCUGAACCAGCCAAGUCGCGUGAAGGAUGAAGGAUCUAUGAGUUGUAAACUUCUUUUAUAUGGGAAUAAAGUGAGGAACGUGUUCCUUUUUGUAUGUACCGUAUGAAUAAGCAUCGGCUAACUCCGUGCCAGCAGCCGCGGUAAUACGGAGGAUUCAAGCGUUAUCCGGAUUUAUUGGGUUUAAAGGGUGCGUAGGUGGUUAAUUAAGUUAGAGGUGAAAGUUUGUGGCUCAACCAUAAAAUUGCCGUUGAGACUGGUUGACUUGAGUAUAGUUGCGGUAGGCGGAAUGUGUGGUGUAGCGGUGAAAUGCAUAGAUAUCAUGCAGAACACCGAUUGCGAAGGCAGCUUACCAAACUAUAACUGACACUGAAGCACGAAAGUGUGGGGAGCAAACAGGAUUAGAUACCCCUGUAGUC